rnacentral:tRNA from 1 species
UCCGCAAUGGUCUAGUGGCUAGGGUCCGACGCUCUCACCGUUGUGGCCGGGGUUCGAUUCCCUGUUGCGGAA